rnacentral:rRNA from 1 species
UACGGAGGAUGCAAGCGUUAUCCGGAAUGAUUGGGCGUAAAGCGUCCGCAGGUGGCGAUGUAAGUCUGCUGUUAAAGAGUCUAGCUCAACUAGAUAAGAGCAGUGGAAACUACAUUCGCUAGAGUACGUUCGGGGCAGAGGGAAUUCCUGGUGUAGCGGUGAAAUGCGUAGAGAUCAGGAAGAACACCAGUGGCGAAGGCGCUCUGCUAGGCCGUAACUGACACUGAGGGACGAAAGCUAGGGGAGCAAACAGG